UCUCCUCCUCUGCUAUAUCAACAGCCUCGGACUCAACACUCUCUCUAAUCCCUCGAAUUGUUUCUGCACUCUCUGCUCUCUUCCUCCUCCUUGUCCUCCUCAACCAUCUUCCUCCCUCUCAUAUACUUCCUCUUCCUCUUCACUUUCACGCAACAGCGCCUCCGUCCACCGAUCACCAACGGCCGCCAAAUUAAACUCCUAGAAUCCUUUUUCCGUCCUCUUUCCAACCCCCAAGUUAGUUUCUACAAAUUCGUAACUGAAUUUCCUCAAUUUCAGAUGUAAGAAACGGUGACCAUUGGUUUUCCGGCCAAUUUCUGGCCAAGCCUGUUGGAAUUGGACCUCGACCCAAGAGAUCAGUGAACAGCUUUUGGGUGUCCACAUAGUGCAAGCAAGAGAGCACGAAGUAUAUGGAAGAGUGGCUCUCUUCUCUGAGGAGCAGCUGACACCGGUUGAAAUGGAUACUGGCCUAGUUUGAUGUAAUUGCUUACUAGUAGUAUGGGACUGGCUAUUAUAACUUUGAGCAGCAGAGAUGGGAGCCUUUGCUUUGGGAUUGACUUGGAAGGAGGUUGCUGCUAUCGUCAUUUUCGCAGUUCAAAAUUAUGGUUAAUUGCGUGGAGUAUCUGGGGACCGGGGCGUGACAAUAGAUGCCAAAUGUACAUCUUAAUUCUAAGAAGAGCAGAUUUGACUCUGUAAGUGCAGGUAUCGGAUUGGUCCGCUCUCUCAGUGCCUGGGUGAUAUAUAAAGCUUUGUGCUUUCAAAUUAAGGGUCCGACACUGACACUCAAGCAGCAUUUUGGAAAGAAAAUUUUGGAACUAGAAGAUGAGAAAAGAACUGUGCAGGUUCACUUAAAACCUUAAUAUUUGAUGUUCUUAUUCUUGAGAGAACCGAUAUUCACUUAAAACCUUUAUAAUUUUAGUUGGAGAUAGAACGUGUAAAAUUAUUGUUGUUUUUAUAUAUAAUAGUUGUGAAUAUCUUUGUAAAUUGUAAUAUUAUAGAUGUUUGUGGUUGUGGGCUGUUUUAAUUUUAAGAAAAGAUAAUUUUUUGUUUA